UGAUAAUUCAAUAUGGGCUUGAGAUCUCUCUUAGGGGAGAAUCAUCACAGGGAAGUCGGUGCAAAUCCGGCGCGGUCCCGCCACUGUAAGGGGGAGUUUGCGUCAUCCACUGAGGAAACUUGGUCGGGAGGCAGUAACAUGAACCUAAGUCAGGAACCUGAUGCCUAAUAAGCUUUACU
rfam:Desulfosporosinus meridiei DSM 13257, complete genome.